UUGACAGCCCAAAUAUGAAUAUAAAAUGAGGAAAUCCCAGCGCUGCAUUAGAUCAGAACCCAGCUGUGUGAGAGAGUGAUGUAAUGCCCCCCCCCCCCUUCCUUUCAGGGUGGAGCCUGCUGGAGUCAGAUGGUUGACACCAGGUCUGAGGAAGUAUUCCUGUGAACUCACAGUCGACACCAACACGGUGAACAG